AGAAAGAAGAAACAGUUGGAAGUACUGGCUGCACUAAGGACCUUGAUAGCGAAGCCAAAGAGGUUAUUAAAGGGUUCAAUCACUUUCAAUAUCAUCCGCUUAUACUAGGUACACUGACUAUGAUUUCAA